UACGUAGGUGGCAAGCGUUGUCCGGAAUUAUUGGGCGUAAAGAGCUCGUAGGCGGUUUGUCGCGUCUGCUGUGAAAUCCCGAGGCUCAACCUCGGGCCUGCAGUGGGUACGGGCAGACUAGAGUGCGGUAGGGGAGAUUGGAAUUCCUGGUGUAGCGGUGGAAUGCGCAGAUAUCAGGAGGAACACCGAUGGCGAAGGCAGAUCUCUGGGCCGUAACUGACGCUGAGGAGCGAAAGCGUGGGGAGCGAACAGG
rnacentral:rRNA from 1 species